rnacentral:rRNA from 1 species
AGUGAACGCUGGCGGCGUGCUUAACACAUGCAAGUCGAACGAGAACGGGUUAUAGCUUGCUAUAAUUGUCAGCUAAGUGGCGCACGGGUGAGUAAUGUAUAGGUAAUAUGCCUCUUACUAAGGGAUAACAAAUGGAAACGUUUGCUAAUACCUUAUACUCCUUAUUAACAGAAGUUAAUAAGGGAAAGAUUUAUUGGUAAGAGAUUAGCCUGUAUUGUAUCAGUUAGUUGGUGGGGUAAUGGCCUACCACGACUAUGACACAUAACUGGUUUAGGAGGAUGAUCAAUAACACUGGAACUUAGACACGGUCCAGACUCCUACGGGAGGAAGCAGUGGGGAAUAUUGCACAAUGGACGAAAGUCUGAUGCAGCAACGCCGCGUGGAGGAUGACACAUUUCGGUGCGUAAACUCCUUUUAUAUGAGAAGAUAAUGACGGUAUUAUAUGAAUAAGCACCGGCUAACUCCGUGCCAGCCGCCGCCGUAAAAC